AUUGAACUCUGGCAGCAGGCCUAACAAAUGCAAGUCGAGCGAGUGGCGGACGGGUGAGUAAUUUCUGGGAAACUGCCUGAUGGAGGGGGAUCACUACUGGAAACGGUAGCUAAUACCGCAUACCAUCGGAUGUGCCCAGAGGGGAUUAGCUAGUAGGUGGGGUAACGGCUCACCUAGGCGACGAUCCCUACCUGGUCUGAGAGGAUGACCAGCCACACUGGAACUGAGACACGGUCCAGACUCCUACGGGAGGCAGCAGUGGGGAAUAUGGCACAAUGGUCGCAAGCCUGAUGCAGCCAUGCCGCGUGUAUGAAGAAGGCCUUCGGGUUGUAAAGUACUUUCAGCGGGGAGGCGUUACCCGCAGAAGAAGCACCGGCUAACUCCGUGCCAGCAGCCGCGGUAAUUC
rnacentral:rRNA from 1 species